AUUGAACGCUGGCGGCAGGCCUAACACAUGCAAGUCGAACGAGUGGCGGACGGGUGAGUAAUGUCUGGGCAACUGCCUGAUGGAGGGGGCUAACUACUGGAAACGGUCGCUAAUACCGCAUACCAUCAGAUGUGCCCAGAUGGGAUUAGCUAGUAGGUGGGGUAACGGCUCACCUAGGCGACGAUCCCUAGCUGGUCUGAGAGGAUGACCAGCCAAACUGGAACGGAGACACGGUCCAGACUCCGACGGGAGGAAGCAGUGGGGAAUAUUGCACAAUGGGCGCAAGCCGGAUGCAGCCAUGCCGCGUGUGGGAAGAAGGCCUUCGGGUUGUAAAGCACUUUCAGCGGGGAGGCGUUACCCGCAGAAGAAGCACCGGCUAACUCCGUGCCAGCAGCCGCGGUAAUUC
rnacentral:rRNA from 1 species